GCACUAUUAUACUGAGAAGUAAUUAGUGAACCUUUUAGCAAUUAAUCAAUAUCCUAUAAAGCUUCUAUGAGCCUUAGGUAACAAUAUACAUUGUCUAGAAAAGAAAGAUGGCUAAUUCCAAUGUAAGUAUGAAGAACAAGAUUCGAGGUCUAUUUGAAUCCCUCAUUUCAUGUGGAAAACCUGCUAAAGGUAUGAUUUGAAAAUUACUCUUCUUCGUUCACUGUUAGUUGUUCAUUUUUUACUUUGCACUCUCNNNNNNNNNNNNNNNNNNNNNNNNNAUAUAUAUAUAUAUAUAUAUAUAUAUAUAUAUAUAUUUUAAAAUUUUACUCAUAAUAAUAAUUGCAUUUCCAAAUGUCUUGAUAAAUGAAUUAGGAAAUAAGUAGUUAAUGAUAAGGGUAAAACAAAAAAAAAGAUUAUCUUUUUCUUGAUUUAGUAUAAUGGACAAAUAAAAGUAAAAAUCUAUUUUUAGUGUAAUGGACAAGUAAAAAUGAACGGAGGGAGUACAUAUCUUGUCUAGAAAUGCUUCAUUCCCUUUUCAUAAUUUUCAUUAAUUAUAGAAACUUUAUGUUAUUUUGAAAGGUUUACUUAUGAAAAUGUACUAAUAAUACAAUUUAAUCUAUCAUAACAGGUCAUUUAUUUUAUUUCCAUACUCCCUUUGUCUCAAAUUAUUUAUUAUUUUAAAAAUUUAGGACAAAAUAAAUUAUAUUUUUUCUAUUUUAUCUUUAAUAGUAAUUGUUCUUGAAAAAGGAGACAAUGCAUAAAUAGAGUAAAUAUUCAAUAAAGAGAGAUCAUAACUUAAGACAUAAAUAACUACAAAAUAGUUUAAAAUCUCUCCUAAUUAAUGUUUCUUAAAUGGCGUAUAAAAGAGAAACAUGAUAAAUAAUUUGAGACAGAUGAAGUAGCUUAUAUGAUCUUAUCUAUAGGUCAACUUCAUUUCAUGGCGUAAAAUAAAAUAAAAAUCAUUUUUAGUAAUGCAAAAAUUUAUUAUGAAAAUUAUUUUGGAAAUGAUUUUGGUACUACAGAUAAAAAAAAACAGGAAUUAGUGUCAGACGAAUUCCAUUAUUAAUAGCAUAUUUUCGUCAUUAAACUCAUGUUAGCUAUGACUGAUUUAGCGACAGACUAGCAAUGAAUUUCAUAGCUAAUUUUUGUUUUUUAUGUCUUCAACUUUGUUAGAACCAGGAAAUGGCCAAGGACAAGGGCUACCUGUGGCAGAAGAACCAGAAAAUAUUCAAGGGAAAGCACCUGAAGUAAUAAUAGGGGAAGCAGAAGAAAAUGCAAAAGGGCCAGAGUUAGUAGAAAAAGAUAAAGAAGAAGCAGAAAAUGAAAAUAGAUCACCACCAAUGGCUCCUAUUCCUAAGACUGAUUAAACUAAUACAAUCCUUGGAAAUUAUAUUCCAUUGAUGUUAAUUUGAAUAAAUUUUUAAGGUGGUGUUUAAUUGGUUGGAAAAAAUGGUUGACAAAUUUUAUUUUUGCAAAAAAUUUGUAUUUUGGUCAUCCUUCUCCUUUCUUAUUUUAGUAGCGGUUUAUCAAUCUGAUGAUGUGAAUGAGUUGAUUUUUAAUUUCUUUCAUAAGUUGUCAACAAAAAAAACUAUAGUAAAUUUGUGUGCUUCAGCAAUCAGCUUGGUCGUUGGUGAGUGAAAUUUAGUAGGCGUUAGGACAUAAAAAUUGUAAUUUUUGAAAUAAAAAUAGUAUUUGGAGUUAAGUUGAAAAAUGGUUUAUGAAAUUUAAAAUUAU
rnacentral:lncRNA from 1 species